CAGUCGCCGCGGUAAUACAGAGGGUGCGAGCGUUAAUCGGAUUUACUGGGCGUAAAGCGUGCGCAGGCGGUUAUAUAAGACAGAUGUGAAAUCCCCGGGCUCAACCUGGGAACUGCAUUUGUGACUGUAUAGCUAGAGUACGGCAGAGGGGGAUGGAAUUCCGCGUGUAGCAGUGAAAUGCGUAGAUAUGCGGAGGAACACCGAUGGCGAAGGCAAUCCCCUGGGCCUGUACUGACGCUCAUGCACGAAAGCGUGGGGAGCAAACAGGAUUAGAUACCCCCGUAGUCCCUGUCUCUUAUAC
rnacentral:rRNA from 1 species